AUGGAUGUCAAUAGAGCCCCAGGGCCUGAUAAAAUUCCUGCUGAAUUUUAUCAGUGUUGCUCGGAUAUUGUCAAAAAUGACAUCAUGCGACUGUUUGAUAGCUUUCAUAAGGUUACCCUUGAUGUCCAGCGUCUUAAUUAUGGCAUCAUUACAUUACUUCCUAAAAUCUCGGGGGCGGACCGCAUCCAACAAUUUCGCCCGAUUUGCCUCCUCCGUUGCCCCUACAAGUUGAUCACCAAAGUUAUGGAUAGAAGAGUGGCUAAGUAUGCUGACAUUCUUAUCAGUCCCACCCAGAAUGCCUUUGUUAAAGGCAGAAGUAUAAUGGAUGGGGUGCUAGCCCUCCAUGAACUUCUGAAUUAUACUCAUGUCAAGCAGAGAGUUGGGGUGAUUCUAAAACUCGAUUUCGAAAAGCGUACGACAAAGUCAAUUGGGACUUCCUGUUGGAGUGUCAUGAACUCCAAGGUUUUGAUUCUAAAUGGUGUGGUUGGGUAA
rnacentral:rRNA from 1 species